rnacentral:tRNA from 1 species
UCCUUGUUAGUAUAGUGUUAAGUGUCGCCGCCUGUAAUGCGGGAGACUGUGGUUCGAUUCCCCGACGGGGAG